ACUGAACGCUGGCGGCAGGCUUAACACAUGCAAGUCGAGCGGAGAUGAGGUGCUUGCACCUUAUCUUAGCGGCGGACGGGUGAGUAAUGCUUAGGAAUCUGCCUAUUAGUGGGGGACAACAUUCCGAAAGGAAUGCUAAUACCGCAUACGCCCUACGGGGGAAAGCAGGGGAUCUUCGGACCUUGCGCUAAUAGAUGAGCCUAAGUCGGAUUAGCUAGUUGGUGGGGUAAAGGCCUACCCAGGCGACGAUCUGUAGCGGGUCUGAGAGGAUGAUCCGCCACACUGGGACUGAUACACGGUCCAGACUCCUACGGGAGGCAGCAGUGGGGAAUAUUGGACAAUGGGCGAAAGCCUGCUCCAGCCAUGCCGCGUGUGUGAAGAAGGCCUUCGGGUUGUAAAGCACUUUAAGCGAGGAGGAAUGGCUCUUGGUUAAUAACCUUGAGCAGUGACGUUACUCGCAGAAUAAGCACCGGCUAACUCUGUGCCAGCCGCCGCAGUAACAC
rnacentral:rRNA from 1 species